GAAAACCCACCCACUCGACGCGAGUUACUCCCUUCACCCCACCAAAACACACCCUCCUUUGAAAGACAACACAGAACACACAGCAAGAGCAAGCCCUAGCUCCUUCCCAACCCAAAAAUCAAGCUUCUUGGACGGAACCGCCUCCGCCGUUCGUCUGUGUCGGCGUCUCCGUGGCCUCUUCCUUCUCCUUCUCCAUGGCGUCUCCCCUUUCUAGUUCGGCACGUCUUCCAUUCACAGGUGAAAUCGCUGCUCGAGGCCUUCAGCUGUUGCGCCGUGGUGUCGCUGUCGUCCCGCCGUCGUCUUCCGCUGUCAGUGGAAGGUUAGUGAAACUGUGAUUUACUGAUUUGAGGUUAGUGAAAAGUUGAGUCUGUUACUCUGUUUUAAGGAUUUGAGGUUGAAUUUGUGAUUUGUGAUUUCUUGGGUCUUUUGUAAUGCUGUUGAUUUGAGUUUGGAAUUUAUGAUUACUGACUAGUGACUUGUUAAGCUGCUGUUUUGUUAUUGCACUGAGUGUUUUAAAUUUGGAAUUUGUGACAAGUGAUUUGUGAUUUGUGAUUGGUGAUUUUGUUAUGCUGCUGUUUUGAUGGCUCUGUUUUGUAAUUGUUAGUUGCUGAUAGCUUUGAAAUUUUUGUUCAAAUUUACUGAUGGCUCUGUUUUGUAAUUACUAGUUGCUGAUGACUCUGAAAUAUGAGGGGGUUGUAACUUUAGUUAAAUCAACACUAAUUUAAUGGCCACUUUAAUUUCUUAAGAAAAUCCUUCUCUCAUUCACUUUUUAGAUUUUGUACUAUGUCUAAAUCUGGAGAAUUUGUAAAUUUUUGUGCCUUGCAAAUAAAUGAAUGAUGAUGCAGGUAACAUGAAAGACAAAUUUUUUCGGAUGUAGGUGAAGAUAUAGAUGAGAUGUAUGAUGAAUUGUUUAAAAUUUAUGGAAAAGUGGUAUUUAAAAGGAAAGAUCAAAAGCCUGCUACUGUAGAGGUUGAUGAUGAUGCCGAAAGCCUAUCGUGUUUCUUCUUGUAUUUUGAUAAAGAUCAUAUGGAAAUAAAAUCAAAUGCUGGUUGUUGCUGAAUGAGUGGGGUAGCUACCUGUUAAUGCCAUAUAUAAAUAAACUGAUGAAUGAUGAUGAUGGUAGUAGAAGGAGAGUCAAAGUGUAUAGGUAGUUGGUGAUAUGUUAUGCUUUCUUAUUCAAUGACUACUUGUUAUGUUGAUACCUCAACUUGGAAACAACACUAGAUCCCGUUUAUAGCUUGCUCAGCAAGAAGAAUCUGUUGCUAAGAGAGCUCUCUUACAACAGAUGAUUGCAACGUUGCCUAAGAUUAAACCGAAAAGGUCAUCUUGCAAGGUUCAGGUUCAUGUUCAGUUAGCAUAAUACCACAGAAUGAUCAACAUUUUUCUAACUGGACUAGCUCAACAUUCUGUUGAAAUUGAUAAUCCUUUGUCUCCUGACAUUUCUAAAUUAGAAUCUGAGGUGUUAAGUGAUCCUGUUAACCCUUAAAGUCAAAAUUUAAUAUUUAGAUAUUUUUUUUACUAUUUAACCUUUGAGUUUGUAUUUGGAUAAGAUCAUAUGAAUUUGGUUGAUGAUUUUUUGU